UGGGGAAUUUUGGACAAUGGGCGAAANCCUGAUCCAGCAAUGCCGCGUGUGUGAAGAAGGCCUUCGGGUUGUAAAGCACUUUUGUCCGGAAAGAAAUCCUUGGCUCUAAUACAGUCGGGGAUGACGGUACCGGAAGAAUAAGCACCGGCUAACUACGUGCCAGCAGCCGCGGUAAUACGUAGGGUGCAAGCGUUAAUCGGAAUUACUGGGCGUAAAGCGUGCGCAGGCGGUUUGCUAAGACCGAUGUGAAAUCCCCGGGCUCAACCUGGGACUGCAUUGGUGACUGGCAGGCUAGAGUAUGGCAGAGGGGGGUAGAAUUCCACGUGUAGCAGUGAAAUGCGUAGAGAUGUGGAGGAAUACCGAUGGCGAGGGCAGCCCCCUGGGCAAUACUGACGCUCAUGCACGAAAGCGUGGGGAGCAAACAGGAUUAGAUACCCUGGUAGUCCACGCCCUAAACGAUGUCAACUAGUUGUUGGGGAUUCAUUUCCUUAGUAACGUAGCUAACGCGUGAAGUUGACCGCCUGGGGAGUACGGUCGCAAGAUUAAACUC
rnacentral:rRNA from 1 species